UUUGGUGGUCAUAGCGCGAGCAAAACACCCGGUCCCAUUCCGAACCCGGAAGUUAAGUGCCGAUGCGCCGAUGGUACUGCGCCAAUAGACGUGGGAGAGUAGGUCACCGCCAAACC
rnacentral:rRNA from 1 species